AAGUCGUAACAAGGUUUCCGUAGGUGAACCUGCGGAAGGAUCAUUACCAAAUCCAAAUACCCAAACCCCAUGUGAACUAUUGUAUAGUCUGUCUUUGGGAGAAAAACCAUCCAAGAAAAUUUUAAGCUUUUAUUAGCUCAUUUUUUUUCUUGGAUUUUUUCUCCCAAUAGAGUCCGGCGCAACUUUAUUGUUGUGUCCAGAUUCGAAACCCCUUAAAACACUUGAUUUUUCUGUUGGAAUUUCUUUUUUUAAUUUUUUAAAUAAAAGACAACUUUUAACGGCGGAUCUCUUGGCUCGUG
rnacentral:misc_RNA from 1 species